CAACUAGUGUUCUACAUUGACGAUAUAUGACGACAACGCACUAACAAUCAUUCAUGAACUAUUCCAAUGUUAGAUGUAUUGACUAUUGACUGUAGCAGUUACACAGAUCAAUCAUAGUAUGCCGAGCACGGGACUUGCAUUUACAACACUUGGAUAGCAACUAGUGUUCUACAUUGACGAUAUAUGACGACAACGCACUAACAAUCAUUCAUGAACUAUUCCAAUGUUAGAUGUAUUGACUAUUGACUGUAGCAGUUACACAGAUCAAUUAUAGUAUGCCGAGCACGGGACUUGCAUUUACAACACUUGGAUAGCAACUAGUGUUCUACAUUGACGAUAUAUGACGACAACGCACUAACAAUCAUUCAUGAACUAUUCCAAUGUUAGAUGUAUUGACUAUUGACUGUAAGUUCAGGGGACUAUUAUGAAUUACAUUUUACAAUUGUAAAUGAAUGUUCAAAUGACACCAUUUUCAUGUAGCAGUUACACAGAUCAAUCAUAGUAUGCCGAGCACGGGACUUGCAUUUACAACACUUGGAUAGCAACUAGUGUUCUACAUUGACGAUAUAUGACGACAACGCACUAACAAUCAUUCAUGAACUAUUCCAAUGUUAGAUGUAUUGACUAUUGACUGUAGCAGUUACACAGAUCAAUCAUAGUAUGCCGAGCACGGGACUUGCAUUUACAACACUUGGAUAGGAACUAGUGUUCUACAUUGACGAUAUAUGACGACAACGCACUAACAAUCAUUCAUGAACUAUUCCAAUGUUAGAUGUAUUGACUAUUGACUGUAGCAGUUACACAGAUCAAUCAUAGUAUGCCGAGCACGGGACUUGCAUUUACAACACUUGGAUAGCAACUAGUGUUCUACAUUGACGAUAUAUGACGACAACGCACUAACAAUCAUUCAUGAACUAUUCCAAUGUUAGAUGUAUUGACUAUUGACUGUAGCAGUUACACAGAUCAAUCAUAGUAUGCCGAGCACGGGACUUGCAUUUACAACACUUGGAUAGCAACUAGUGUUCUACAUUGACGAUAUAUGACGACAACGCACUAACAAUCAUUCAUGAACUAUUCCAAUGUUAGAUGUAUUGACUAUUGACUGUAGCAGUUACACAGAUCAAUCAUAGUAUGCCGAGCACGGGACUUGCAUUUACAACACUUGGA